UAAGCUUACAUUGCAUCUUAG
rnacentral:siRNA from 1 species